AGAAGCGGGCCCCCCACCACCAAGUAGCCCCACCCCAACAGUCAUAGGCCCUGAUAUGAGAAGGAGGAAGAUUCAUUAAAAAUCCCCCUUGGUGCCUUCCUCUUAUUUAGUUCUUUGAAUUUGAUUCAGUUCAGCUGGAAUUGAAGCUCCGGCUAAAUGUCUAGCCGUGGCUCUGAGACUAGCCCACUUCAGCUCACUUUUCUGUCCAGGCUUUGACAAUUUAGUGAUGAGAGUGGUUACCCAGACAAGAACCCUCAAGUAUCACGGGGUGCCCCAGAAUGAAGCUGUGAUUAAAAUCAGUUGUGUAACCACAGACCACAAAUUUACCAGACCACAAACUUUACCGUUUUAGAAAAACAACCAGACAGGUGGCAAAGGAUGAAAAUGACCAUGUUUUAUUAACUGUUUGCUGGGUUCGAGCUGUUACUAUCUUGGUCAGGCAGUGUUGCCAUUGCUGUCUUUGUCUGUCAAGUUUCAGACCCUGCUUCAGGCGUGUGGGUUUUUUUCUAUAAAGUUUCUUUGGGAACAGCAAAAAUGCUGUCAAAGGCAAAUAUAAAAAAAUGAGACUCUGCAUGAGAAAGGGUGAUUCUGCCUAUGGUUCUUUAACUCUUUAUAAAGGUUUCAACCACAUGUAAUUCUACCAAAGCCGGGAGGGAAACGCGCUAGUGGAAGAUGUGAAAUCCAGGUAGCUCAUGAAUGCCUAGAAUGAGGCAGCUUUGAUCUCCAACUUGCUAUUGCUUUCCUUAUUAUUGUAACGGGCUGCCUAUUAUUAUCAUUAUUAUUAUUAUUAUUAUUAUUAUUAUUAUUAUUAUUGAAAAGGUUUUUAUUUCCCCUUUGCAUUUUUAUAAGCUAGUGUAAAUGAAGGAAAAUAUUUGUCUUCUCUGGGUUGUGCGCUUUGCUCGAUGUGCACAGGUGUACACCCUAAGCUUUCUCUGUCCUGGAAUCUGUGUUUGGUGCCCAUGUAUUUUCUAACCCACU